rnacentral:lncRNA from 1 species
AUGGGUGGCACCGGGGAGAAGCUGGACCUGGGACGGAAGGGAAAACUUGGCAGCCUUUUGGGGAAGGGAUGGAAGGUGGGGGGGGCAGGAGGAAGAGGAGAAGUGAGUGGCAGGGUUGGGGAACCUCUGAAGAAAAGGAGUGGAACAGGAGAGUCUAGGGGAGCAGAGGGGUCAGCAGGGGACGGAAGGAGGCUGCUUCCCUCGCUCACUACCGUCUCCCACGGGGGAGGGAUCGGCGGAGGCGCUCCAGGCACCGGGGUCGGGGUACGACCCUGCUGGAGAGUCCCGCCUCCCCCGAUACCCCAAAAGCCGGGGUCGGGAGGAAGUCACCGAGAUGCCCGUGGUGCCGGCGGGGGGAGGGGAGGCGCUGCCCAGUCCUCUGAGUGCAGGAGAAGGAAACUCGGCCCGGAGACACCCGCCGCCCCCGGCCCGGCGGUCCUUCCUCCCUCGGGUCUCCCACUCCAGCCAAUGGCCACUCUUUAGACUUGGUGCACUCUUCUUCCAACCGGUUCUUCAGUCCCUCCCUCCAGGGAUUCUGCGGGCUCCCAGGCCCCUUGCAGAGCAGACACGAGGCUUCCCAGCGAGGGUGCCCUUGCAGGCGGAUCUAGAGCGAGACAUAAACUGCGGACGGGAUUUUCUCAGAACUGGAAUAGGAUUUCUUCCCUGAGAUACAUAGGGGAUACACCUGUACGCCACCCCUCUCCCAUUAGCCAUAUAAUUGUGUUUGUUCCUUUCCAGCCUUUGUUGCAUUCUACUCAAGAGCUAAAGCAUUGGAGCUAUGGAAGGAACAAUAUAACUGGGAAAUCUAAUAUGUUUGUUGACCAAAUAACACACAGGCAUGUAUUGGAAUUUUGCUUUCUUCCUUAUUCACAGAUGUUAGGUGGUUUAUACAACAAAUAUUAGAGCAGGUAUAUAAGAGGUCACGCCAGAAGCUGUGGAAGAUAUUGAGACAACAAGGUCACCUAACUACUUUAUGACAUUGUACCUAUCGGAAGGGUCAAAGAAGU